UCCCAAGGAUGGAACAGUCAGGGGGUACGUAGGGAGGGGGUGACUCUCGGGGUUUCUCGAACUCUCAGCCCGCACAGGGAGGACGCGAGGGGACGGGAUUCCGAGUGCAGCUGCAGGGCCACGGCUGUCCUCGGCUCGGGCUCUUUGGACUCUUCUAAGUAGUCUUGCCCAGUGAACGUGGCGGGGAAUAUUGAGUUUUCUGAGACGCGGGGCUAGCGGUUUAGACGCCCAGCUCCCGCUCCUUGGUAAGCCUGCGGGAUACUCCCAGCCCCUGCACGCCUGCUCCACGUCGGCCCCUCAGUGAAUUCCACUGGAUAAAUCGUUGGGAAUCCUAACAUUUGCCUGGUGGCGACUCAUCAUCAUACAGCAUUUUUACGUGACACAGAGGUAUUUAGCGCGCUGCAUCCACAGCCCUCGGGCUCCCCAUCACGCAGCCCACUCACAGACAGACAGACAGACACACACACACACACACACACACACACACACACACACACACACACACAGCUGUGAGUUAUAACACCCUGUGGAGAAGCUCCGUGAUGCUGUCUACAGUGUUAAGAUCCAGUAAAAGGGAUGUACCCUGUGUUGAUGAUGUUGAGGCAAGUUGGAAAUCAGGGAAAUUUAGCUUUGUGGAAGGCAGAAAGGCUUUUCAUUAUUCCGGAGCCCUUUAACCAGGGGCAAGUUGGAAGGUACCAGUAACUUUGGCAAGAGAAGUUGGUGUGAAGAAGUUUAAUUAUCUGUUGAUAACAUAGUUCUUUUAUUCUAAAGUUUGUUUUGCCUUAAAGUUUGUAUUUGGUGUUUGUAACAUUUUAUUUUGCUUACAACACUAAUACUAAUAAAAAAAAAAAAAGCAGCAGUCUUAUCUUGGAUAGUAAAGACAUACUCCACAGUAGUUACUGGAACCGAAAGGUCAGAAAUAUUUUGGCAAUGAAACUGUACAAAUCUUAUUAAAUUCAUCAGUGAUUUUAGGCUCCAAAAAGAAAGUAAUGACUUGGAUACACAUUUCACUUGUCAUUCUUGUGAUAGUAGGGUCAGAUUUAAUUUAAAAGUUAAAUGCUUUGGAAAAUCAGGAAUUACUCCAAUAUAUUAAAUCAUUUUCCAAUUAAGUGCUUUAAAUAAUUUUAGUGGGUUGUGCUGUGAAUUGAAUAAAUUAAUUUAGAAAGUCUUCAGAAUUUCUUUACUAGCUCAUUGAAGUUCCUUUUAAGUCACCCGGUGUAUGAGAGGCAAACUGUUCUUUUUAAAUGCAAAUCAGCCACCCUUUCUAUAGAGUAGAUGCAAGUCUUCUAUUUUACUUAUCCAGGGAAUAAUGGAUUUUUAAAGAUGCAAAGUCAUAAGAUAUACUUCUAAUAGCAGGAAGAGACUUCAGGGACAUGUUUCUCACAAGACAACUAUUCCUGCCCUUCUCUGGGUAGCAGUCUAUCAAAUAGAUUUGUCACUGAUCCCUGCUUAUAUGAAAUGUACUGAGUAGGUUUGCCAGGCCCCAGAAACUAGUGUUUUCUACUUCAUGAGUAGCCUUGGCACAAAAUUUCUGUCUAGUUCCACAAUUAUAGUUGCUUAGAAUGUAGUCAACCAGCAUUCAUUUUUGCAGUAACUCAAGUAGAUUUGCACGGAAAUGGAAGGUGGGCAGAAGUUUGAAAGAGGUGAAAUAAGAAAUCUGUGUCUAUGUUUAGUAAAAACAAGUUGGAUCUGACCUCCCCAAAAGAGACAAGUCUGCAAAGUAAACCUUGUCUCUCUCAGAGGUGUAAUGAAUGUGUAGUUUAUUACAAGAAACAGUCACUUUGUCAGGAUAUUUGUUUUUAAUAGAAUGAUAAGAUCAUAGAUUACUAAUUAUCUUUAUUUUAAAUCUGUCAACACUUCACUGGUUAAAGUUGGUGUGCUAAAUCCCAGCGGAACCAGUAUCUUUCUGUGUUUCAGCGUCACACAGUUGUAACUAGAGUUUCUCCAGUGACAUUUUUUUCAAUGUCAGAAGAGACCCUAAUCCAGAAAAUGAAUAUCCUCUUCCUGAACCUUUUCUAAACUAAAAUGAGGUUGUUUUACUUUGCUGACAUUUUCCAGCACUGCUGUUCUAUAGAUUGCCAAAACACUACUUACAUUUUUCAGUUGAUAAACUCCAUAGGCGCAAUUUGAGGGGAAACAGUUUAAUCUAGUAUUGCUCUGUCGUAAGGGCACAUUACGUUAUGAACACAUCACUGUGCAAACUGGCCUCCAUUUUCACAUAGCCCAUUGCGGGAGGAACGUGAGAACAAUGCAGUGAUGUUGGUUAUGGCAACUGUGCAAGGCAUCUCUUAUACAAACAGCCAGAGCGGAUGGCAUGUUGCCGUAUAUAGGUCAGCCUUUGAAAGAGCAGUGUAGCUCAUAGACUGGACAGAAACAUGUAGGCUAGAAGUAACAGUGUUUACCUCGGGCAACUUAAAGCGUGGCUAUAGUUGAGACAUUGAGAGAUGGGUACCAUAGUGGAGUUUCAUCUAAUUAAGAGUCUUUUAGGUAGCAUUGCUUCCCUUAAUUGAGCUGAAUGUUACCGAAAGAAUUGGAUUAUAGGAGCUCACAAUUGGAGUUCAGUAGUAAAAGAGAGUCCUCUUUUUUUGUUCUAGUUGAAGAUGUCAGAGCAUCAAUUUAAAUAUAUACUCGCAGAGUAAUAACAGUUCCUUUCAGUUUCUUAGUGCGGUGUCAUUUCUGAAGAUUGUUUUCACUGAUUUUAUGCUAAAUUGGGACAAAGAAGUGGCACUUUUUCAUUUUUACAGUGAUGUGCUGUGUUCAGUUAUUGCUCAGUAUCUGCCCACAUAAGGAACAGUAAUACAAUUAUGUUAUGACAUGGCUAAUGACAGAGAUGCCCACCUCUGCCAGCAGUGAGAGAGAAAAUCAUGGUCUUUACUGUUCUCAGUGGUUGCUUUUGUGGAAACAGGUCCUGAAUCUUUCUUUGGUUGAUUUAGACACAAGGAAGUUCAAAACACAAACCCAUGCUUGAUGCUGACUAUACAUAGAGUGAAGAAUAAUGGGCAUUUGGAAUAUGGGCUUUUGUCAUUGAAAUGAGGAAGGACAGUGUAUAAACCGAGGAGGAAGGACCUACUUGUGAUGAACUCUGUGUUAAAAUGUCAGGGCUACCCUUAGACAUUUGAUAACUUUUGAGAAAAACAAGAUUCAUUAUCAUCUCUGCAGAAUCUCCUUAGAGUGUAUGUUUCCGUUUAGAGUAUUAUGUAUUGUACUUUAAUGUGGCAAAACUCAUCAUAUAUAAAAUACAGGAUUUGCAAGCACAUUACGGUGGAGUCAUUCUUUUUACUUUAAUAAAUGUAAGGAAAAGGAGGAGGGUAGGGGAAGGAGAGAGGGAGGAGGAGGAAGGGGAGGGUUAUAAGCAGUUUAGAGCAUCAUGCUUGCUUAGUUUUUCUCCCCACCCCCUAGAGCUCCCAGGACUUUGGGAAAAUUCAUAGUUAAUACUUGGAACAUCAUUGGUGUAAUUAAAACUCCCAUGGGAGUUUUAUUAGCUGGCAUCUUUCAUUAGUUUUGAGGUCUUUAAAUAUGUUUUAAAUAAAUUUAUAGGUAAGAGCAUAAGCCACACAAUCUUAUGGUUUUGGCCAGUAAAUCAGAUAUCAUACAAAAACCUCAAAUGCAGCUAUCUUGACUUUGUGGGAUAUUUCAGUGUCCUAAACUCCAAUUUUAAAAUUCUAGUUAUGAGCUUUGGAGUUAUUUUUUGCAUAGCUUACAGAGUUUUGUCUUCUCACAAUGUAGCAUAUAUGUUAAAAGUUACUGAGUGAUGCUGUUAAGGAGCAUUUUGAUGUUUUGCUUAUUUAGAAAAGCUAAACUGAUAUGUAAAUAUUGUCUAAUCGGCUGCUAGUUGUAACUUUUUGUUUUUGUCUUUGUCUGAUAUGAUUGCAAGGGGCUAAGAACAGAGUAAAGAAGUAAGGCACUUGAACCUGAAAGAAGGAGGGAAAGUUCCAAGUUUAACAAUGGUUUUCUUGGUACCAGAACUGGGUCUCAAAUAUUGGUUUUGGUGUGUGGGACUCUUUCUUGUGGUCAUACUUUUGUGUGUAUGAUGAGCUCAAUUCAAGAAAGGGAUUGUUUAUAGAGUUGGUGGGGAGGGAUCUUGUUUAGCUGUGAAGGAUGAUUUAUUCUAGUGCUUUCCAGCAUUUUGCUAACUUACUAGAAAGUUGAAAAGGCCCUGGGAAUAUUUCUCAGCUACUGGAGAUCCUCCUGUUCUGACUGAAGCCUGCCCUCAGCAACUGAUCAGUCCGUGUGCCUGGUAUCUCUUUCUUCCCUCCUCCUUACCCGCUUCCCUAACACCCCCAAUCCUGGGGCAACACCCUCUCCCCUGCUCUUUUCCUUCCCAAUCUUGAUCUGAACUUUCUAACCUGAGAUCCUCCCUCUCCUCAGAUACUUGGCUCACCCUUGUGGUCAUCUUGGCCGCCAUGCUUCCUUUUCUGCUUGGUGUCAUUGUUAUAACCAUGUUAACAUAUCCACUUCCUCCAGAACCUGACCUGUUUUCUGGCUAAGGAAUUUGGAAUCUGCCAUCCUCAGGGCCAUAUCCACUUCUUAAAACUCUGAAUCAAGCUGCCCUCCUCUUCCCCAUUUGAAUGAAUGGCAUUAGAUCAUAGAAUAAUAGACUAAGAAACAGAGAUGAUGCUGAGAGGAAGACCAUGGCAGGUAUUUCUAAGCUCUCAUAGUUGCCCCUCUCUCCUGGUAUUUUAUGCACAGUGUAUUUAGAGUUUGGAAUCAGCUCCAUAGCUAUCCCUUACCAGUGAGAAAUCUUUAAUUAGACUCUAAAAUAGUAUAUAAGUGGGACUGUGAUGAUCUUUAGUUGCACAUAGCAAGUUAAGUGAGUUACACUUACAGUGAGUAUAUGGGUUAGCAUGUUUAUGUGUUCUCAUCAGAAUAUGCAUAGAUGACUAAGAUGGGCAUAUUUGGAAAUGCAGAACCUAUUUAACUAAUCACUUUUAGGUAAUUUAUCAUCCUGUAUCUUAGUUUAUCCAAGUAUGAAUCUCAAGAUUUCUGGGAAGUCAUAGGUAGAAUAUUUAACUUAUAUCUCAAUGAAUAUUAAAUGUAAUUAUCAUGACUUGAUUAAAUGCUAUUAACAAUUAUAGUUGUAAAUAUUACCAACUGUUUAAGAUAAAACUUAUAUGGUAGGAGUUCCUGUCGUGGCGCAGUGGUUAACGAAUCUGACUAGGAACCUUGAGGUUGUGGAUUCGAUCCCUGGCCUUGCUCAGUGGGUUAAGGAUCCAGCGUUGCUGUGAACUGUGGUGUAGGUUGCAGACGCAGCUCGGAUCCCAUGUUGCUGUGGCUCUGGCG
ensembl:lncRNA